ACUAGCUUUGUCCAUAAAAUGAGUAAUGAUACACAGGCGUAACAAUGCCACUGAAAUGUUAAAAACUGAAAAUAAUUUGCUAUCCACACCUGAUGAGAUUCAAGAGCAUGUUGUGCAGUUUUAUAGUUCUCUCCUAAGUGAGACAGAAGCUUGGAGACC